rnacentral:rRNA from 1 species
UACAGAGGUCUCAAGCGUUUGUUCGGAUUCAUUGGGCGUAAAGGGCGCGUAGGCGGCGGGGUAAGUCGGGUGUGAAAUCUCAGAGCUCAACUCUGAAACUGCACUCGAUACUGCUCUGCUUGAGGACUGAAGAGGAGACUGGAAUUCACGGUGUAGCAGUGAAAUGCGUAGAUAUCGUGAGGAAGACCAGUGGCGAAGGCGGGUCUCUGGACAGUUCCU